GAUGGACGCUGGCGGCGUGCCUAAUACAUGCAAGUCGAGCGAACAGACGAGGAGCUUGCUCCUCUGACGUUAGCGGCGGACGGGUGAGUAACACGUGGAUAACCUACCUAUAAGACUGGGAUAACUUCAGGAAACCGGAGCUAAUACCGGAUAAUAUAUUGAACCGCAUGGUUCAAUAGUGAAAGACGGUUUUGCUGUCACUUAUAGAUGGAUCCGCGCCGCAUUAGCUAGUUGGUAAGGUAACGGCUUACCAAGGCAACGAUGCGUAGCCGACCUGAGAGGGUGAUCGGCCACACUGGAACUGAGACACGGUCCAGACUCCUACGGGAGGCAGCAGUAGGGAAUCUUCCGCAAUGGGCGAAAGCCUGACGGAGCAACGCCGCGUGAGUGAUGAAGGUCUUCGGAUCGUAAAACUCUGUUAUUAGGGAAGAACAAAUGUGUAAGUAACUAUGCACGUCUUGACGGUACCUAAUCAGAAAGCCACGGCUAACUACGUG
rnacentral:rRNA from 1 species